UUCCGGUUGAUCCUGCCGGAGGCUACCGCUAUUGGAGUUCGAUUAAGCCAUGCGAGUCGAGAGUCUUAGGGACUCGGCGCACCGCUCAGUAACACGUGGGUAACCUGCCCUAUGCUGGGGGAUAACCUCGGGAAACUGAGAAUAAUACCCCAUAGUUCACCACGCCUGGAACGGUGGGUGGACCAAAGCUCCGGCGGCAUAGGAUGGGCCUGCGACGUAUCAGGUUGUAGGGGGUGUAACGUACCCUCUAGCCAUCAACGCGUACGGGUGUUGGGAGACAUAGCCCGGAGAUGGAUUCUGAGACACGAAUCCAGACCCUACGGGGUGCAGCAGGCGCGAAACCUUGGCAAUGCGAGCAAUCGUGACCAGGGAACUCCAAGUGGCUGGGGUAAGACCCAGUUUUUUCUUGACUCUUCAAAGGUCUUGGAAUAAGGGGUGGGUAAGGACGGUGCCAGCCGCCGCGGUAAUACCGGCGCCUCAAGUGGUAGUCGCUUUUAUUGGGCCUAAAACGUCCGUAGCCGGUCUGGUACAUUCGUGGGUAAAUCAACCCGCUCAACGGGUUGAAUUCUGCGAGCACGGCCAGACUUGGGACCGGGAGAGGUGUGGGGUACUCUCAGGGUAGGGGUAAAAUCCUGUCAUCCUGAGAGGACCACCUGUUGCGAAGGCGCCACACUAGAACGGAUUCGACGGUCAGGGACGAAACCUAGGGGCACGAACCGGAUUAGAUACCCGGGUAGUCCUAGGUGUAAACGCUGUGGACUUGAUGUUGGGGGCGCUCCGAGCGCUUUCAGUGUCGAAGCGAAGGUGAUAAGUCCACUGCCUGGGGAGUACGGUCGCAAGGCUGAAACUUAAAGGAAUUGGCGGGGGAGCACUGCAACCUGAGGAUUGUGCGGUUUAAUUGGAGUCAACGCCGGA
rnacentral:rRNA from 1 species